AUUGAAUCCACUUGCCAUGCUGUCUAUCGAGACGGACCUCAUCCAAAAGUUACCCGACUUCAACGACAUGGUGAUUGACCUGUUUGUAUCCCAGAAAGGCAUCGAUGUGAGCUUCUUUUCAAAUAAGGGUGUGUGAUUGGACAGAGAGCUGUCUGGUGAUGAAGAAGAAGGGAGCGGCUCAGAGAGAAGAAGACCUGAAGUCACAAACAUCCAGACUCUCCAGCAGCGCAUCGUCUGCAUAAAGGGACAUGGUGUGUUUCUGGAGACCGACAGUAACUCCAGUCACCUGAGAGUCACUUCUUAUUGCUCAAGGAAUUGAAGGUGUCUGCCGAAAUUCAUGAUCCUCCCAGAAAUCAUCCUGAAAUAAUUGAGGGUAAGUCAAAUUCUCUCUCUCUCUCUCUCUCUCUCUCUCUCUCUCUCUCUCUCUCUCUCUCUCUCUCUC